UACAGAGGUGGCAAGCGUUGUUCGGAAUUACUGGGCGUAAAGGGCGCGUAGGCGGUCUUGCAAGUCCCGUGUGAAAUCCCUCGGCUCAACUGAGGAACUGCACGGGAAACUGCUUGGCUUGAGUUCGGGAGAGGGAAGCGGAAUUCCUGGUGUAGCGGUGAAAUGCGCAGAUAUCAGGAGGAACACCUAUGGCGAAGGCAGCUCGCUGGGACGGUACUGACGCUGAGACGCGAAAGCGUGGGGAGCAAACAGG
rnacentral:rRNA from 1 species